GACGAACGCUGGCGGCGUGCUUAACACAUGCAAGUCGAACGGAAAGGCCCUGCUUUUGUGGGGUGCUCGAGUGGCGAACGGGUGAGUAACACGUGAGUAACCUGCCCUUGACUUUGGGAUAACUUCAGGAAACUGGGGCUAAUACCGGAUAGGAGCUCCUGCUGCAUGGUGGGGGUUGGAAAGUUUCGGCGGUUGGGGAUCGGACUCGCGGCUUAUCAGCUUGUUGGUGGGGUAGUGGCUUACCAAGGCUUUGACGGGUAGCCGGCCUGAGAGGGUGACCGGCCACAUUGGGACUGAGAUACGGCCCAGACUCCUACGGGAGGCAGCAGUGGGGAAUAUUGCACAAUGGGCGGAAGCCUGAUGCAGCAACGCCGCGUGCGGGAUGACGGCCUGGUGUAACGACUUCGUCCUCGUGACGAAGACGUGAGUGACGGUAAU
rnacentral:rRNA from 1 species